rnacentral:rRNA from 1 species
GACGAACGCUGGCGGCGUGCUUAACACAUGCAAGUCGAACGAGACGAUUUAGAAGCUUGCUUUUAUUGAGUCGAGUGGCAAACGGGUGAGUAACGCGUAGGCAACCUGCCCUUUAGUUGGGGACAACAUCCCGAAAGGGGUGCUAAUACCGAAUGUGACAGUUUUUCCGCAUGGGAUUACUGUGAAAGAUGGCCUCUAUUUAUAAGCUAUCGCUAAAGGAUGGGCCUGCGUCUGAUUAGCUAGUUGGUGGGGUAACGGCCUACCAAGGCGACGAUCAGUAGCCGGUCUGAGAGGAUGAACGGCCACAUUGGGACUGAGACACGGCCCAGACUCCUACGGGAGGCAGCAGUGGGGAAUCUUCCGCAAUGGACGAAAGUCUGACGGAGCAACGCCGCGUGAACGAUGACGGCCUCGGGUGUAAGUUCUGUUAUACGGUACGAAUAGGCGUAGCGGUCAAUA